GCUGCGGGGAGCUGAUUCAUUCUCUGGCUAGGCCCUGGAGGGCCCAAGUGGCAGUCGAGCGGCAAGGCGUCGUCGUUCCUCCGUUUGGAAAACCAUCAUCUUGAGACCUGCUUACUAAAUGGAUGAAGGGCCAUAAAGCCUCAGGAAAGAUGAAGAAAAUGAGGCAGAGUGGCUGAGUAACUUGCUGAUCCUCACAUACUGGUAAUAAAUGUUAAACAUGAACCCCAACUGUCUGAUUUUAGAAUCUGGUGAAUAGUGAAUGCCAUGAAUUAAGUAAUAACACAGGAAAAGGAAAAAAGUUUUGAGAAAAUAAUCAAUGUUUGCAUACUAUAGUAUAGUAAUACAGAGUUCUUAGAUGCAUAUUAACUCAAUCAUCAACCAACCCUGAGUGGCAGAGUUGGUAUUAUUUACAUAAUUAUUUCCAUUAUAUAUUAGGGGGAAAAAAGCUUAGAGAGAUGAAGUGACUUGUCUGAAGUCACAAAGGCAAAGUAGGGAUUAGAGCCAGUUCUUCUGGCUCCAAAUCCAGUUUUUCCCACUACUACACCACGUUGAGUUUGUGGUGCCUGAAGUGAGGUCCACUAGGCAACAGGAUUCAGAUUUAUAGCUCAGUCGAGAAGCUGAGGCUGAAAUAAACUUAAGAAUUAUCAGCAUAAAGGUAUGAGCUGGGGCUACAAGUGUGCGUUGAAUCAUUAAAAGAACAUCCCAAUGGAGAGGGGGGCUAGAGUCAGAUCAAGUGUUGUUUGUAUGCUAUGUUAAGAAGUAUGGCCUUUAAAUGUGAAGAAAAUAGAGAGAGAACCAAAGCAUCUUAAGCAGAGAGCUUAUGUGACAAGAUUUAUACCAAGUGUCCUCAAAAUCUUAAUGCAGCUUUAAGUUUUAAUAACCUCAGAAGUAUAAAUGCUACAAACUUACAAAA